CCUUCAUUUCUGGGAAGAUGCCUCCUCAACCCUUUUUGUCCUAUAAAUGAGCCCGCCAGGAUUCCCCCUGGACCUCACCAUCCAAUUUCCAUAUUAACCAGCAUGGCGAUCCCAGAGAUCAAGUCAACGAGCAGAAUUUAGCCGGUAAAUCAUCAAACGUGAGCUACGUUGCCCAGAUUUGCUCGAGGAUUUUCUCAAUUGCAACUACACUGGCUGCAACUUUGGCGAUGGUCACAUGCCGGCAGUCUAUCACAGUAUUUGGCAUCAGGAUUGGCGCCCGAUACAGCUAUCCUUCGGCUUUCAAGUUCUUUGCUUUUGCGAUUGCGGGUGCUUUCUCCAUGAUGUCCCCUGUUCCUUCUCAUCGUCUUCACUCAUCCUCGAGGCCCACGGAAACCUUCCAACUUCUUCUUCUUGUUCCUCCACGACUUGUGGAUGAUGUCACUAGUACUGGCGGGAUGUGCGGCUGCGACGGCAGUUGGAUAUGUUGGGAAGUAUGGAAACAACCACACUAGUUGGAUGCCAAUAUGCGACCACCUGGGGAAGUUCUGUAGCAAAGCCACAACUUCCAUGGCAUUCGCUUAUGCGUCGCUGUUCCUAUUUAUGUUGCUUGCCAUCCUCUCCGCAUGGAACAUCCGGCAACACUCAAGCAUAGCCCUUACUAGUUAAACAUUCACUUGUUAGCCUGUGUUGUGCAAAUUCAAAUGCACUGCUUAGGGAUAAUAAUAGUUGAUGUCAUCCGUCAAGUUUAAUAAGCCAACUUUUUUAAAGCGCUUUCUUUCUUUGGUGUUAACCAACAUAACAUAGAUUGCUA